rnacentral:rRNA from 1 species
GUAGGGAAUCUUCCACAAUGGACGAAAGUCUGAUGGAGCAACGCCGCGUGAGUGAAGAAGGUCUUCGGAUCGUAAAACUCUGUUGUUAGAGAAGAACGUGCAUGAUAGUAACUGAUCAUGUAAUGACGGUAUCUAACCAGAAAGCCACGGCUAACUACGUGCCAGCAGCCGCGGUAAUACGUAGGUGGCAAGUGUUGUCCGGAUUUAUUGGGCGUAAAGGGAACGCAGGCGGUUUUUUAAGUCUGAUGUGAAAGCCUUCGGCUUAACCGAAGAAUAGCAUUGGAAACUGGAAGACUUGAGUGCAGAAGAGGAGAGUGGAAUUCCAUGUGUAGCGGUGAAAUGCGUAGAUAUAUGGAGGAACACCAGUGGCGAAAGCGGCUCUCUGGCCUAGAACUGACGCUGAAGCGCGAAAGCGUGGGGAGCGAACAGGAUUAGAUACCCGAGUAGUCC